rnacentral:tRNA from 1 species
GGAGGCGGGCAAGUGCGGGCUCCGGCCAUUCGCAAUGAGAAGGUCAGGGGUUCGAAUCCCCUCAGCUCCACCA